AGUGGCGAAAGGGCGAGGAAUACGAUCGAACGUGCCCCAAGGUGGGGGAUAGCGUCGGGAAACUGGCGGUAAUACCCCAUGUGCUCGCGAGAGGAAAGCUUCGGCGCCUCGGGAGCGGCGAUCGUCCUAUCAGGUAGUUGGCGGGGUAACGGCCCACCAAGCCGAAGACGGGUAGCGGGUGUGAGAGCACGACCCGCCGCAUCGGGGCUGAGACACUGCCCGGACUCCUACGGGAGGCUGCAGCAACGAAUCUUCCGCAAUGGGCGCAAGCCUGACGGAGCAAUGCCGCGUGUGGGAUGAAGCGGCUUCGCCGUGUAAACCACUGUCAGGACCUCGGAACACUGACCAGGUCCAGAGGAAGGGCCGGCUAACCUCGUGCCAGCAGCCGCGGUAAGACGAGGGGCCCGAGCGUUAUUCGGAAUCACUGGGCUUAAAGCGUGCGCAGGCGGAUCGGCAGGCAUCUCGUGAAAUCCCCCGGCUCAACCGGGGAAUUGCGGGGUGAACCGCCGGUCUUGAGGCGGGUAGGGGCGGACGGAACCAUGCGUGGAGCGGUGAAAUGCUUAGAUAUGCAUGGGAACACCGAUGGCGAAGGCAGUCCGCUGGGCCCGUCCUGACGCUCAGGCACGAAAGCGUGGGGAGCAAACAGGAUUAGAUACCCUGGUAGUCCACGCCGUAAACGAUGCGCACUAGAUCGGGGA
rnacentral:rRNA from 1 species